rnacentral:rRNA from 1 species
ACCCAACCACAAUACACAGUUAAAACACCAAUUGUUCGCCAAAUAACUACGAGUAGUAACUUAAAACUUAAAAGACUUGACGGUGCUUCAUCACAACCUAGAGGAGCCUGUCUAAUAACCGAUAACCCACGAUUAACCCAACCCACUCUUGCCAACAGUCUAUAUACCACCGUCGCAAGCUUACCUUAUAAAAGAAACAAAGUGAGCUAAAUAGUACACACUAAAACGACAGGUCGAGGUGUAACCUAUGAGAGGGUAAAGAUGGGCUACAUUCUCUACAGAGAAUACGAAUAACACUAUGAACAUAGUGUUUGAAGGAGGAUUUAGCAGUAAGAUAGGAAUAWAACACCUAACUGAAUAUAACGCAAUGAGGUGCGUACACACCGCCCGUCACCCCUGCCUACAU